rnacentral:rRNA from 1 species
GAUGAACGCUGGCGGCGUGCCUAAUACAUGCAAGUCGAGCGAACGGACGAGAAGCUUGCUUCUCUGAUGUUAGCGGCGGACGGGUGAGUAACACGUGGAUAACCUACCUAUAAGACUGGGAUAACUUCGGGAAACCGGAGCUAAUACCGGAUAAUAUUUUGAACCGCAUGGUUCAAAAGUGAAAGACGGUCUUGCUGUCACUUAUAGAUGGAUCCGCGCUGCAUUAGCUAGUUGGUAAGGUAACGGCUUACCAAGGCAACGAUGCAUAGCCGACCUGAGAGGGUGAUCGGCCACCCUGGAACUGAGACACGGUCCAGAGUCCUACGGGAGGCAGCAGUAGGGAAUCUUCCGCAAUGGGCGAAAGCCUGACGGAGCAACGCCGCGUGAGUGAUGAAGGUCUUCGGAUCGUAAAACUCUGUUAUUAGGGAAGAACAUAUGUGUAAGUAACUGUGCACAUCUUGACGGUACCUAAUCAGAAAGCCACGGCUAACUACGUG